UUCAGCCAUCUGGUCGCUAGGGUCCAAAUUAACCUAGCAACCAUGCAUUGAUUGGUGAUGGAAUAUGAAUAGGGGAGGGUCUGAAUAGAGAGGUGAGUAUUCAAAAGUAGCAAUAACGAUAAAUGUGUAACUUUAGGGUUUGACCAGAUUCAUGAGAUUAGUCGCCGCAAAGAAGAAGAGAUUUGUCCGAAUCUGCCCAUGUGGCCAGACCCUUACAGAGCAUUUGUUUUUAGAUGGGGUCAGUGACCCCCAUUUGAAUGCUAGAAAGACAAAGGCAAAUCAUUCAAAAACUAUACAAAAUAAAUAAUGAAGAUCAAUUGAAAAGUUGUUAAGGCUUGCCCACGCUAUAGCAUACUAAAAGUUAAUUUUAAGGUGAAUCACCCCUUUAUCGUGCGUCUUGGCUGUUCCGAUUUGAAUUCUAACCAUGUGCCUUUCUCCGUCAGCCUUUUCUGUGGAUAAAUGACAUCAGAGAUAUCCGGAUGAGAAGUCUCCCUCUUCCUGGUGUAAACAGUAGGCUUGCUAAGGAUGCUGGGAGAUGUGAAUCUGACAUCGUUGAAAAGCCUAGAUAAAGGGACCUCGUCAUAGUCUAAACAUAUUUUAGAGCCCGAAAAAAAAAAACCUCGAAUUCGUCGGAUUCUUCCAUUGCUGGUAUGGGUGAACGUUUCGACUUAAAGGGCCGGAAACACCAACACAGAACAAGGCAUUUAUCAAUAAUGAACAUACGGACCUGCCUUAUGAACAGAGGGCCGAGGAGCCAAGUACAAUAAACAGGAUUCCAGCCAAAAUUCUACACUUCCCUCUGCAGCCACAGACGAUGGAUUCAUACCUAAAGAAAAGGUACAGAAGGUACAGCAGCAACAAAUAUCUCUAAGGUCCUGCAGUUCACAGGAUUUAUAGUGUAUACGGAAAUGGGAUCUGUUAUCCAGAAUGCUUAGGACCUUCGGUUU